rnacentral:rRNA from 1 species
AUGAAGCAACAUGUGAAGCUGCUGGUGGAGGAAUGUCAGGUUUGCAAGCAAGCAAAACUGGAACGGGUCCGUUACCCAGGACUGCUGGAACCCCUGCCUGUGCCCAAGCAAGCUUGGGAGCUUAUCACCAUGGAUUUGGUUGAAGGACUGCCGCAGUCAUCGCGAUACAACAACAUCAUGGUGGUAGUGGACAAGUUCUCGCGGUACGCGCAUUUCAUCCCAUUGUCGCACCCCUUCACGGCGUUUCAAGUUGCCCUUGCCUUCGUCAACAACAUAUACAAGCUGCACGGGUUGCCGGAGGCUAUCGUCUUGGAUCGAGACCCCAUUUUCACCAGCACCAUGUGGAAGGAGCUGUUCAGGUUGACUCACACGGAACUGCGCAUGAGCACGGCGUGGCACCCGCAGACCGGCGGGCAAUCCAAGCGAGUAAACCAAUGCCUGGAGACAUACUUACGCUGCUUUGUGCACGCAUGCCCGUCCAAGUGGUCUGCAUGGUUGGCCCUCGCAGAGUUCUGGUACAACACCUCAUCACAUUCAGCUUUGGGAACUUCUCCGUUUGAGGCUUUGUACGGUCACGGCCCUCGGCAUUUUGGUAUUCUGGACCCAAUGGCGUGCGCUGCACCGGACCUUCAGGAUUGGCUUCAGGAUCGAGCCCAGGUGGAGGCACUGCUACAGCAACAUCUGCUUCGUGCACAACAGCAAAUGAAAGAAUCUGCGGACAAGCGACGAUCGGACCGCGUGUUUGAAGUGGGCGAUUGGGUGUUCCUCAAGAUCCAGCCCUAA